UACGAGGGGGGCAAAUGUUGUUCGGAAUCACUGGGCGUAAAGGGCGCGUAGGCGGGUUCUUAAGUAAGGUGUUUAAUCCCGGGGCCCAACCCCGGACCGGCACUUUAAACUGGGAAUCUUGAAUAGUGGAGAGGUCGGUGGAAUUGGGGGUGUAGCGGUGGAAUGCGUAGAGAUCCCCAAGAACACCAGUUGCGAAGGCGGCCGACUGGACACAUAUUGACGCUGAGGCUCGAAAGCAUGGGGAGCGAACGGG
rnacentral:rRNA from 1 species